AACCACACGACGUACAACCUAUCAAAGUGAAGCCCCGAUUGUCUUCUUUCUAUAGAGACUAAGUUCAUCCGGAUCGGAGAUCUGUGCCGGGAGAUAUCGCUGUUUCCGUGUCGGGUGUCAAGAUCUGCUUUGUUGCUAAGGUGAGGAUUAGAUCUAGGUUCUUCUUCUUAUUCUUUUAUCUUCUUCUGGUGUGGGAAGUCUAGAUCUGAUAAGUCUAGGUUGUUUUCAUGUGCAUCUAGAUAGAUCCAUGUAUAUAUAUAUAUAAUUAAUAUGAAUUAGGACUCUCAUUAGAGGAAGCACCAGCAUACCUAAUUGUUCAUCCUGCUUUGUGGUUAGUGUUUGGUAAAAAUAGCUAGAUCAGGUGUUCGUCUCGGUGGAGGUGUGCCGAGGUACGGAUUGAUUGCUAGAUUAGUGCCGUCUGUGUGACUGUGGCAUUAAUUCAUCGUCAGGUGGUUAGACGAACAACCAUGCCUGUCUUUGUGACCUGGCAUAGCCUGUCUGUAUGACCUAGCAAUGUUGAGUCUGUCUGUGUGACCUGGUGCCUGUCUUUGUGACCUGGCGAUGUAGAGCCUGUCUGUGUGAUCUGGCGGAGCCUGUCCGUGUGACCUGGCAAGAUUGGACACGCCUCUUUGAUAGUUGUUUGUGCACUUCUAGAGUGCUUGUUUGUUGCUUAUUGGGUUUAUACUUGUCAUAUUGGUUGGAAAUGAUCGAGUGGGAAGAGUGCCUGGUUUGGUUCUCACCGAGUAAUUUCCCCAUAUUACUCACCCCUCUCUUCUAAAUCCAUAUUGCAGGUGAGUCUAAUGAAUGUGAUUGUGAUGAUGUUUGGGAAGAACUAGACGAGUAGCUCUAGUGUGGUGUGUCUUCAGAGAUGGAGGAAGUUUUAUUUGUUUUAAGAACUAUUUCAUAUUUUCUUUUAAGACAAUGUUUUCUAUUUUAUUCGAAUUCAUUUUCAGUAUUUCAUUUUUAAUUGUAAGACUUGGAUUUGAGUUUGGGUUUUGGAAUAAGAAUAAGAUGUUAUUCAGAAUUUAUUGGUUUAAAAUAGCUAAUACCAUCAGUUUAGCCUGGUUUCCUUCGGAACCCAGGGUCGGGGUGUUACAGUUAUCGAAAGAACUAAUUGGACUAUCGAUUAUAAAUCUCAUAUGAAAUCUUAAAGUGCCAAAAAGGAUGAAAUUUUCCAAAAUAAAAGAAAUCAAAAUUUUUACUUGAAUCAUUCAACAUUUUAUACUUUUUAAAUUAUAACAUAUACCAAUGAUUUACUAUGUGAAAACAAAACCAAAAUUCAAGUACUUUUACUAGGAUUUUAUUCAUAAUUAACUAUGAUGAAUGCUUUAAUCAGUUAUAAUAUUUACUUCUUUCAAACGCUAUCACGAUUAAUAUGAAUUUAGUGUUUAUAAUUUGUUUUUCUAACAUCUUUAAGCUAAUCAUACCAGUUUUCUAUAAAGUACAAAUAACUUUAAGAAAAUGUUUAACCCUUAUUACACAUGAAGAUAUUUUAUUAUUCUAAUAAUUUCAUGUAUAGGAGAUGAUCUAAUUACGGAAAAAAUUAACUUUAUUUGCUGCCAAUAAUGCUCAUUAAUUUAUGUUGAUAAAGUAAUGAGGUGUGACGUCUGAUUAAAAGAAAAAAAAGAAAAAAAAAAGAGAUAACAAAAGCAUAGUAAAAGGUCAAACCUAUUAAAAUCAUAAGAUUUUAAGUCUUUCAAGUGCUAUAAUCCAGAAAAAAUGGAGCCUCCUACAUGCCCGGGACACGGCACAGCUUUCAAUAACAUUUACUGAAGGGAUUAAAAUCUCAUUCACCUGUUUGGUUAUUGCUGAUCGAUGUUUUUAAUGGUUUUAUUCUGUUUUUAUUAGUAUAGAAUUAGAAUUACUCUAUGAUUUACUCUACUUUAUUAUAGAAAUAUCUUUUUCAAAAAUAGAGAAAAUGUUGGCUCCAGUAAUUUUCCAUCGGGAUAAAUAAUUCUAUUGAGAAGGCGAAUCCCGUGAAGCAAUGUAUAGUAGAUUAGUCAUUGACAAUUAGACAUAAAAGCAUGUUACUAAGAAGGGGUUUUUACUAAAAAUAACCUAAAACUUAAUUUUGAAUACAAAAGUAGAUCCCUAAAAAAAUAUUUGGCAAAAAUAACCUAAAAGAGUAGUGAAAAGAACAUUUAAUCCUGUAUGACCAAACAAAAAAUGGAUGUCCUAAUUACCAUUUAAACUCUGACGAAAUUACUAAAGAGUGGAAGAAGUCUACUAGUAGACUUUGUUCAAACGAAAUGAAGUCUACUAAAUAAUUAAAUCAGAAAAUUUAAUUUUAAAAUUUAUAAAAAAUUAUUUUGGUAUCAAAAUUACAUUCAUAAAUUCCGUAAUUGUAAUCCAAAUGUAUAUAAAAUGUUUUUUUAUAUUGAUAAAUUUAAAUUUAUGUUUUUAAAUUAGGAAGAAGAAAAUCUAUUAUUUUAGAAUUUAAACUUAAUAGACUUCAAUAUUGAAAUCUGCUAAACCGAAUAAAUUAACAUAACUAAAAUUUAAAUCGAAAUUGAACAAAAAAUUUAUUAACCUAACCGGAAAUUUUAUCCUCAUAUGUAAACACAAUAACCUAAUUUUUAGUACAAAAAAACUCAUGACUCUCUCUUUCAAACGGCGCUCUGCUCAAGUUACCCACUGCUGCCUCUCUCACCAUUCUCCGACCGACUCGCGAAUCAGAUCUGAGGUCCAAGGCGCUAAUCAGAUCUGAAGUCCGAGGAAGACGAAGAAAUGAUGUCUCAGCUUGCUUCUUAUUUUUCGUCCUAGGCGCUAACCAGAUCUGCCUAGUUUCUUAUUUUUCACUUUCUGUCUCAAUAUUUGCAAUGACUUUAAUCGAUAUGUGAGGCAGGUAUGUUUUAUCGAUAUGCAUGGGUCUAAUCGAUAUGCACUUUCUUUGAAAAUUGAUGCUUUAUGCAGCAAUCCUGUUUCGUACUAGAGAUCAAUGCCGGCAAGCUUUCUAUAUUAUUUUCCUUCUUUUCAUCUCUCGCAUGAUAAUUCUUUUACAUGUCCACGCUAGGUCAUGGAAGUGCUUAUGUCAUUGCAAGGGUCUGAGAUGGAGGCAGAUGAUCCAAUAACGAGUUACAUGUUACAG
rnacentral:lncRNA from 1 species